CACUAUCUCAUUCCCUGCUCCACUCCCAACAGACUCUCUCCACUACUAAUUCCACUCCCAACAAACUCUGAAAAAUCCCCAACUCAUAUCCUCUCUCACACGUCAAUAACAACCAUCCACUCACAUCUCCCUCUACAAAAAUCUGUCUUCACUCUCUCAUCAAAAACUCACACUCCCAAAAAUAGCUCACAUCCUCUCUCCAUCUAACAACACACAAAAUCAUUCACAAAUCCCUCAGAAAAAUCUCACGCUACAUUCUCACAAAACCAUCGCUUCCCAAACAUCACCUCCAUGCCCAUCAUCAUCGCUUCACAAACCCUCGCCGUAUCCCACCGUCCAAACCCUUCAUCCACCGUCGUACCACCAUAACCGCCGACGCUCCGAAACCCUCAAUAUCUCACUCAAACUUCUUCCAUCGCCAUCACAAAACCAUAGUUUCUCCGCCGACCACAAUCGUCCUUCGAGAUCCAUCACCGAUGAACAGAUCCGAUGCCGGAUCUGCAACUUCAAUCCACUCCUAACGCUGUUAAAGUUAUCACCACGACCUAAAUCGGAAAUAACAUACAUCAAUACUAAGGCAUACAUCGUCCUCCUUGCCGAGCAGAAGAUUAAAAUCCGGUGAAGGUGAUGGAGAUUUGUUUUUUUUACUCACGAAAAGCUGUUAUGAAUUGCACUUGAGGGCCACGAGUAGAAGAUCGGUUUUGAGAGGAAAUCCCAAACAGCGAAGGAAGAACAACACGCCUCCAAAAGACUCGAUUCAAGCAGCUGCAUAUUGCAUCAUGUCUCUGAUUUAGUGUUCGUUGAUUUUCGGUUUAUUAGGAAAAUGGCUGUGUUUGAGCUUACUGUAUGAGCUUGUUAAGUGCAAAAUUCUCUUUAUUAUUGCCUCAUUGGAAUGCCGACAUUGAUGUGUUUGAGUUUACGAAGCUUUUUACGUAAGAUUGAAAUAGCAGCAGCCUGAUUUGUUACUUUAUUAAGAUAGGGAUUGAAAUAUUAUUAUUUAUUAUUCACUUGUUAGAUUAGAGCUUAAGAAUUGUUGUGUGGGAAGUUUGGAAUGAUUAAAAGAGAAGCCCAUUUUUUUCAUUGUUAUGUCGACUAA